rnacentral:rRNA from 1 species
AGUGAACGCUGGCGGUAGGCCUAACACAUGCAAGUCGAACGGCAGCACAGUAAGAGCUUGCUCUUACGGGUGGCGAGUGGCGGACGGGUGAGGAAUACAUCGGAAUCUACUUUUUCGUGGGGGAUAACGUAGGGAAACUUACGCUAAUACCGCAUACGACCUACGGGUGAAAGCAGGGGAUCUUCGGACCUUGCGCGAUUGAAUGAGCCGAUGUCGGGUUAGCUAGUUGGCGGGGUAAAGGCCCACCAAGGCGACGAUCCGUAGCUGGUCUGAGAGGAUGAUCAUCCACACUGGAACUGAGACACGGUCCAGACUCCUACGGGAGGCAGCAGUGGGGAAUAUUGGACAAUGGGCGCAAGCCUGAUCCAGCCAUACCGCGUGGGUGAAGAAGGCCUUCGGGUUGUAAAGCCCUUUUGUUGGGAAAGAAAAGCAGCAGGUUAAUACCCCGCUGUUCUGACGGUACCCAAAGAAUAAGCACCGGCUAACUUCGUG